rnacentral:rRNA from 1 species
UACGAAGGGGGCUAGCGUUGUUCGGAAUUACUGGGCGUAAAGGGCGCGUAGGCGGUACUUCAAGUCAGGCGUGAAAGCCCCGGGCUCAACCUGGGAACCGCGCUUGAGACUGGAGAACUAGAGUUCGGGAGAGGAUGGUGGAAUUCCCGGUGUAGUGGUGAAAUGCGUAGAUAUCGGGAGGAACACCAGUGGCGAAGGCGACUACCUGGCCUGUUCUUGACGCUGAGGCGCGAAAGCUAGGGGAGCAAACAGG